rnacentral:lncRNA from 10 species
UUGGCAAAGUAUUACUGCAUCAACAGGUAUGUGGACUGUCUAAGAGCCUCAGAAAGGACAAAGAAAGAAGCUUACAGAUUCCGAUGCCCCUUACUACUGUAUCUGGCCUUUCUCCUGCCGGUAUAGUGAGAGUUGACAGUUUGAUGGAUUUAAUUUAGGAUCUAUGUUAGGAUGAGAUGCACUCUGUUUUCCUAAACAAAUUUGCUGCAGAAUGGCAGCCACAGUCUAGGGCCUCCUUGAGCUUGAGGCUAAAUGACCUGAUGGCCCACCCACUUCAUCUAUACUGCCUUUAAUAUGUCAGCAUUUCCUCAAGGCCUGGGUUUCGUGCACUCAGGGUGAUAUUGAACAUGAAGUUUUCAAACAGCAAUACCUUGGGUAACAGACAAGGGCUAGUUAAUGAUCUCAUUCAUAAUUCAUCCCGUGAAGGAACCAUUUACACUCAAACUCCAAGCAGGAAGAAAAUAUUCCCAUUAGGUAGGGCUUUUUAAAUGCCUCUGCCUUUGCCACAGUGCUGAGAGAGAACUGUGGUCUUCAGUAGUAAGGGCAUAUGGCUGCAAACAGAGUGCCCAGGUUAGAGACACCAAGAGCUGCAGCAUCACUCAGUAAUAGCUAUUUCAGAGGGAUGUAAAGCCUUCCCUGGGAAAAAGUUGAAUAGGACUCAGUGCCUAAACACAGCACUUUCAAAAAGAAAUGAAUCUCUAAUUAAACAUCCUGAAGACAGAAGCUGACAUGUCAUUGCAGAGCUAAUAAUAAGACCUCAUGAAAUGUUCAAAAGUUCUCCAGAGUAAGUGUGAACAAUUACAUUUCCCUCUCUCCAUCAGUGAAGGGUUACCACCAGUUCUUUAAGAAAGAGAAAAUGAAGUCAGAGCCACAGGAUGAACUUUCUCAACCCAUCCUCUUUAAGGAAAAGAAGUUGUUGGCUGAGUCAGGAGGACCUUAUGUAUGCCAAGAACAUCGUUUUUGCCUCCUUAGGUGAAACUUUAUUUCCCACAUUUAGGAUUCAUUAGGAUUAUCUAAGGCAUGGUGGCUCUUUCCUGUA